rnacentral:lncRNA from 1 species
GAAGUCGAAAGACUUCUCUAUGUCAGGGGAUUAAAAACGCCAUUGAACCAGGCGAUUCUGCUCGGUUGAGUGACAUACCGCUCGGUUUAGUCCAAAACCAUCUGGUUCAGGGCUGAAUUGGACGGUUCCUAAUUUUUUUUCUUGUUGGGUGCCAAAAAUCAGGGCCAAACUGACCUGGUUCCGUGUCGGUAUGGCUCAGUACGGCCUGAAUCGGGUGGUUCUGUCCGGAUUUCAAAACCAUGGACUCAUAAGAUUUCAAAGCCAGAUAAAAUUUGUAUAUGGAGAAUAUUAGUGAUCUCAUGUACAGUUGCAUGAAAAAACAACAGUUGGGCAAGCAACAGCAAAAAAGCCUCCCAAAAAAGGAGACAACUUAAACAGUAAGUAGCUUCAGUUAUCAAAAAGUUGAAAUUUUAUGGUGGAACUGUGAGAUUUUAUUAAUUAUAAAAUAUGUUGAUAGGGGUUCAGUUACUAUAGAAUAAUUCUCUGAACCAUUCUGCCAAUAAAAGGAAUCCCGAAUAUAUAUGGAAAAACAUUGUGAUUUUAUGACUAUGCACGAGAAGUCAAUACUGCUGC